GCCUGGCUGGCUCAGUUGGUUAAGCAUCUGACUUUGGCUCAGGUCAUGAUCUCACGGUUUGUGGGUUGGAGCCCCAUGUCGGGCA
rfam:Felis catus isolate Cinnamon breed Abyssinian chromosome F2, whole genome shotgun sequence.